UACGUAGGGGGCAAGCGUUGUCCGGAAUCAUUGGGCGUAAAGAGCGUGUAGGCGGUCCGGUCAGUCGGUUGUGAAAGUCAAGGGCUCAACCCUUGAAUGCCGGCCGAUACUGCCGGGCUAGAGUCCGGAAGAGGUGAGUGGAAUUCCUGGUGUAGCGGUGAAAUGCGCAGAUAUCAGGAGGAACACCGGUGGCGAAGGCGGUUCUCUGGGCAUGUCCUGACGCUGAGGAGCGAAAGUGUGGGGAGCGAACAGG
rnacentral:rRNA from 1 species